rnacentral:rRNA from 1 species
UACGUAGGGUGCGAGCGUUGUCCGGAAUUAUUGGGCGUAAAGAGCUUGUAGGCGGUUUGUCGCGUCUGCUGUGAAAAUCCGGGGCUCAACCCCGGACUUGCAGUGGGUACGGGCAGACUGGAGUGUGGUAGGGGAGACUGGAAUUCUGGUGUAGCGGUGGAAUGCGCAGAUAUCAGGAGGAACACCGAUGGCGAAGGCAGGUCUCUGGGCCACUACUGACGCUGAGAAGCGAAAGCAUGGGGAGCGAACAGG